CAGCUAUAAAGGUGGCAGAGGUGACUCCGUGGAUUCAUCACUCCAGGGUUAAACCAGCAGCAGAUUCUUGGUAAGCUACUCAAGAUCCUGAGAAUCCCUGCAAGAUCCGGUUGAAGCGAGUGACCCAGUUAGAUUAAAAGUGGUUUUUGCAAAGAGUAUUGUUACAAGGGAACAUCAGCAAAGAUCUACAAGUAGGUGUUUUGACGGCCACAAUAUAGCCUGACCACCUACCAAUGUUUAAGCCAGAGGAAUCCUCUGUGAAGAACAGUGAGGAUAAGAAGGACUCCAUUCCCUGCAGCCCUCACACGCCUGGAAGCUGAGGUGCUGUCGCACGGUCGAAGAAUUAGGAAGAUGAUGUCAGGAGUAAUGUGUUUGAU